ACUUAUUGAAUUUCUUAAGUUCAUGUUUCUAAUACUUAGUGCUUUGAUAAUCCUUUAUCAAUGCUUCUUGAACUUAUACACCUUUGCCUUCGAUAGUUCAUAUGUGUGUCUAAACAAUUAAGACUAAUUGCCAAACCUCACAAUUCAAAUUAUGGAAAGGGAUGCCGUAACCAUAAUUGAAUUCGAGAAUGCAAUUUUACAAUCACUAUCUUCUUAAAAUCUUUCUUAGUGAAAGCAUUUCCUCACAAUCAUUUUCAUGAAGGAGGAAAUCUUAUGACACUUAGAUUUAAACGGUGUAUGUGUUCCUAUCCAUGUGAAUUUGUUAAAACCAAAGUUUACGACAAAUUCAAACUCAUAUGGACCGAACUUUCUUAAUCUUGAUUUCUUGCCUUAUGGUAGCACAGCUGCCCACCAUGUCUUCCAAGUAGUUAAGCAGCUCACCCUUUCCUAUCAAUGUACCUUUCAUUGAUUAAGGUGCUUUGCCUUUUAUGCGUUCAAAAUGAGAACUCAUAGAACUCACAUGCAUAAUUAACUCGAUUGGAUUGGCACAGAAUCAAAAUAAUGUCAACACGAUAGGUUGUAAACCUCAACUCGUGUGCUAGUGAUGAUCGAUAAGGUUUAUUUGAUUUGUUCUUGAAACCUUUCAAGACCAUUAAGACUCCCACUGACUCCUUGACAUAUAAGAUUCUCUUGUCAAUAACCAUUUCUUGACAAACAAAUAUUCAAGAGUUAGUGUAGCUUUUAUCAAAACACUUCAUAAAUUGGUCCUAGUUGGUCUUUGUCUUAUCCAAGACAUCACAACUUUCCACAUUUAAUGAAAGUUAUAAACCUUCUUAAUACCUUUCACUCAAUGUCACAAUCUUAACUUUAAGACUUGUUAUUGGAACGAAGUAUGAUUGACUUAUUGAUUUAACCAUUUCUUCAAUUCUUGAUUCCUCUUCUUAGACAUACAAUUGUACUAAGACUCACUUAGAGGAUCAAUUGAGAUAUGGUUCUUAAUCAUUAAGACCUAUCAUAAAGCAUAAAAGGUACUCUCCCUUCUUCUUAGAAUGGAGAAACUUUUAUCUUUCUGCCUACUUGAUUCUUCUUAUUCGUUCUGCUAUUGAUUUAAACCUUUUCAAUCAAUUCAGAAUUACACUUAAUCUUAUAAGUAUAAUCAUAUUUACUAAACCUUUAGUAAAUCAUGACGAAUAUCUUUGUUACUCUUAUGGUGGACUUGAUCAACACGCAACUUUGUGUACUCGAUCUCCUAGUCCUUCACUUGACACUUUGUCAAUGAAUUAGUCUAAUUUCCAAAUAUGAAAUUUCUCAUUCAUCGUGCAACCAAGUUGCAUGAUUCCAAGUUUCUGUCCAAUUGAAACUUGGGCGAUGAGAAACUCUCCCUAUUUGGUAAAUUCUCGACUUUCCAUAAAUAACAUAAUAAGAACCAAAUCCAUUAUUGCUAAUAAUAGAAACAUUUUAACAUCAAUUUUUCAUACACGCCAUUGUAAGGAUAAAUAAAUAAAAUUUAAAAUCAAAAUUUAUUUUAUUGCGGAAAAAUUUGUCCUUACAAUGCAACUCAUUGAAAAACUUAUGCUAAUACAUCUUUCUUAGCAAUCUAAUUCUAACUCUAAGUAGUAGCUCAAGAAUCUAAUCUUCGAGAAAUGCGAUCGAAAUCCAUUCCUUCACGGUUAGAUUCUGCUCACUUCUUCCCUUAAGCUUCCUUUCUUUUCUUCGAUCCUACAAAACAUCAAUUGUAAUCUUAUCACAUUAUGUAUUAAGAAUCUAGAAUAGAAGCUUAAAAGAGUUAGUUAAUGGAUUUUACCUAUAUUAGAGCCAUACGUUUCGACUCUCCCAUCUCUUAGAUCUCUUAGGUAAAUGGGGCAGCUUCGUCUCCAAUGCCCUUUCUCUUGGCAAUAAAAGCAAAUUGACUCUUUUGGAACAUGACAUGGAACUACUUCAGACAUUGCCUUUCUCUUAUGAUCAAACUUUUCGAUCAUAGCAUGUCUUUCGUUGCCAUUGUCUAUAUCCAUAGAGGUCUUGAAGGCAGAUUCACCAAUCAACUUUGCUUUUCUAUUGCGCCAAACCAUUGCUGAUUCAGCAGCAAUAAGCAUAUAGGUGAGAUCUAUAAGGGUCACGUCGCGGUUCAUCAUAUAGUACUCUCUUACGAACUCACUAUAUGAGUUAGGAAGUGACUGAAGAACCCAAUCAACAGCCAUUUCCUCACAGACAACGGAUCCCAACAUUCUUAACCUAUCAAUGUGUGACUUCAUCCCUAGGACGUGUGCACACACCGACUUUCCUUCUUUAUGUUUACUUGCCAAAAGGGCUUGAGUGAUCUUGAACUUUUCAAGCCUUUGAACUUGUGGGUUAGGGAGAAUAAUUGGAGGAGGUGGAGGAAGUGAAGCAUGAUUUCUUGUUCCUCGAUCGAAUCGUGGAAUAUCAUCUUCAUGUGGAAUGCUUGUUCCACGGGAUUUGGGAAGACCAUAGUUGUCGAACUUUGACAUCUACAAAACGGGAGAAAACGAAUUCAAGUUAGUUGAUUGAUUGAGUCCUUAGUAAAUCACCCAAAUGAGAUACUAAGGCUAGGACCCAACACAAUAUUCUACAACUCGGGAGAGGGAUGCCGUAACCCUAAUUGCAGAACAUUUGAAGGUAAGUGAAUGACGAUUCACUAAUUUCCACCAUGAAAAACGAAAAAGAAAUUUAAGUUUUAAAUCUAUGAAAACUCCUAGAUCCUUUGAGAUUCAUUGAACAUUUCAAUGGCAUGUUUAAAUCUCGAUAUGCCCCUCUUGUUUGUGACUGGGAUGCCGAGGAUCACAAAGCGGGUGUGAAUAACCAUGCAAACUUACAUGGUGCCCUCACAUGUUACAGUCACCUAUUCGAUGUGCCGGUAAACCACACACGCUCCACCGAACUAUGACAAACAUUGAGUCACCCUUUGCUACCUUUGCUUAGAACCAUUUAGUGUGCCGGUAAACCACACACGCUCCACUAACGUCUUCGCAAGGGCACAAAGUGUAAUUUCAUGGAAUUGCAUCAAUUCACUUUUGCCUAAGUAACUAAGAUUGGGAAUUUUAUGAAAACAUUUAGUUACUUUUAUACUUCAUUAUACUUAUAAUGGAAGGUUUCGUCCUAUCCUACCCGUUCGGCUAACGACCCUCCACUAGUCAAGAGUGCGGUGGGUAAGAGUGGAUACCCAUUCAAUCGCCAUUUUAUAGGCAAUUUCCUUAAACACCCCUUAUAGACCAGCUUCGUGAAUGAGGCCUACUAACGGUAAGACUGACUUUUACUCAUACAUAUAUAUAAUGUUAGACUUUUAAUGUUAUAUAUAGUAUAGGGUGUAUUUUACACUUUUAAAAUACUAGGUGGUCAAAUUUAACAAUUAUACUUUUAAUUCAAUUAAAUUGUAAACCUAAACUUUUAUGGAUUUAUUAAACCUCUUUUAAUUAUACACCUUAAUUAAUUAAUAAAACCAUAAGGGUGUGAUUUGAACUUUUUCAAAACUAUACUAGAGUUUUAGAAUUUAACAUUCCUAAUUAAACUUUUAAUCAACUUUUAAAUUCCAAAACUUGAGGGCAAGUUUUGAAACAUUUCAACACAUUAGGGUUUAGAAUUUAAAUAUACAUCAAAAUUAAACUAUUUAAUCAAAAUUUAAAUUCCAAAACUUGAGGGCAAGUUUUGAAACCUUUUUCAAAACAUUAGGGUUUCAACUAUUUAAAUUUCAAAACAACAAAACUUUUGGGUUCAAAUUUAAACUAUAAAACCUAAAGGGGAAAAUAUGAAACUUUUCAUAACAACAAGGAUCAAAUAACAAAUAAUUUAAAUUAACAUUUAAUCACAUAAUUAUCCAUAUUUGAUUUAUUUAAUGAUUUCUUGCAAAACAAUUUAUCAAUUUAGUCAAAAUAAUUAAUCAAUUAUCACAUAAGGAAACAAUUAUCUUAUUAAUUGAUAAAUAUCUUCAAUUAGAUCAAAAAUAUAGUCAAAUAUAUCAUAUAAUCGGAUUAAUAUUGAUCUAACAUGAUAAGGUAACUAUCCCAAAGCAAAAACAGCAAGAAAUCCCGAGAUAAGCUCCAUCUGACGAGUUGACUCGUCGAGUCAAGCCUGGACUCGUCGAGUCACCUUGGACUCGGCGAGUUCAGCUAUGGACUCGGCGAGUCCAGCCUCCAGAAACCCAAAAAACGAAUUUUCCAGUUAUACAAUGCAUCAAUACAAUUGAAACCAAGCUAGGCUCUGAUACCACUGAUGGGUUUUGGUCAUAAGACAUCCUAUGUGCUCAUACAAACCCUAAUGCUUGGAUCUAGGUUUCUCUAUUGUACAUGCUUUGAAUCCAAGACUAUAAACCCUAAUUCUAGCAUAUGGAAAUCAAUAUUAACAUAUAAUUAGGUUUAAGAUAUUACCUUGAUUGUUAUGUAGCAAUAACAAUCCCAAUUCCUCCUUGAAUUGACUUUGGAAGGCUUAGAGUCACAAGUGUCACUCCUCUAAUGGCUUACAAACACCAUAAGCAAGAGGAGAAGGUAUAAAGAGAGAGGAGAGAGGUAGGAAUUCGUCCUUAGGACUUCUUGGGAAGGCUUAGACGAAUUCAUGAGCCUUAGGGGGUUUAUAUAGGUGUAAAGAUUAGGGUUUUAGUCCUUAUCCUUAUCUAGUUGCUUGCCCACCAAGCAACCAUAAGAUAAGUCUUAGAAACCCUUAUCCUAGUCGAAUUCUAAGGCAUUAUCUCCUUAAAUUCGUUCACCCUAUAUUUAAGAUAAUCCUUACCUUAUUUUGUAACUAUCACAUAAUUACAAUUCAGCCCCUCUAGUUUAAUUAAUUACACUUGAUCACAAAAUUAAUUCUUAAUUAAUUAUUGACCAAUAUUAAUUAAACAAAUAUGAUUUCUCCUUUAAUAUAUUAUUCUUAUAACAUAUUAAUAAAUCAUAAUAACCUCUCUCUCUAUUUAUUUCUCCAAUCAAGUUGCUUUGGUGAAGGCAACCCAAAAGGACCAUGCACCAUCGGGUCAAGUACAUACCAAAAUAGUUAUGGACUUAGACACUAAUCCAACAGUCUCCCACUUGGAUAAGUCUAAUAACUAUUCUGCGUAUGACUUCAGAUCCUGAUCUGCAAUCGUAGCUUUCCAAAGCCGCUGUCAACUCUGAUCCUAUCAGAUACGCGUGUCCUUAGAUAAGGGAUCAUAUAUUCCUCCAUUCUAGAUAUCAUAUGAGAUAUGAUUUCAAAUCAUUCUCUUUGUACUAUAUCUCGAUUCCCGAUUUAUGACGACUGACUAAUUGAACAAAUCAAAUUAGCCCUAGCCCGGCCGAGCAUUUACGUUUGUCAUCACUAAAUCAUCGAGGGGCCCAAAGAUAUCGCUUUUAUCCUACUUUGGAUAAAAGGAACGGAUAAACUUUGAUACAAUGCUUGCUUGCACUCACUCACCGAAUCACACACAACAAUAUGUUUUAUAACACCAAGUUACUAGUGCGUUUACAUAUUAUCAAUGUGCAACCGAUUUGCAAGAUACAACUCACACAUCUCGGUUUCAAGAAUAUAAGAUGUUAUCGUCUCACCAAUCACUCGUGAUACAAUUCAUGGAGUGAUCCAAGUGAGCGUGGGUUUAAUCCAAUGCUCAAAUCAUAUUCAUAAGCACUCAUGAACGUUGCAGCAAACAUUUGCUUAUGUCUAAUACUCUUUUAGACAAUCCACACACCAAUUCACGACAGUCUUCAUUCAUAUCUACUUCCAACAUAUGAACGACUGUGGCCCGUUCGAAUAAUUCGAUUAUUCUUAAUAAACUCAAUUAUUCUGGAAGUCAAAACAUGCAAAUGUGAAACACAAGAAUAAUACUAAUCCCAUAUGGCCUCAAACCUUUGAGUAUAAAUAAAACACCUUUUAUUUAUCACCAUAUCGAUUACUCAUUAUUUGUCGUUUCGGGUAAUCAACUUCUUACUUGAAUUAUUACACUUGUCCCAUGCUCCUAGCAUGCACACAAUGUUUACCUAUGGUUCUUACUUUGUGAAAUAGAUCAAAUUGAACACAUUUCCAAUCAUUCUCAUUUCACAACUCCAAAUCCUUUUCCAUAAGUGAAAGAAUAUCAAAUUCUUGCUACUUAUAGAAUAUGCUAGAUUCUAACAUUCUAUGCAACUAUCCUUUCGUAAUGUCACUGCACCAAAGUCACAAAGACUAUUGCCAAUGAUAUUACAAAGUCCUCUAUCGGAGAUUGUUACAAGACAAUUCCAUAGAUGUGAUGUCUCUCACUCAAAGUACAUUCUUUGAACAUCCUUUUGCAUAGAAGUUUCUAAUCUAGUCAUAGAUUUCUCAAUAUUCAAUUCCCAAUAUGGACACACUUCCAUAUGUUCCAUAUGACAACUCAUUCUUAAUAGAAUCUUAUCUAUUCGUAAUGAUGUCGAUAUGGUCCAUCCAAUAUGGAAACAUUUCCAUAUUUUCCAAUACUAUACUUCCAACUACUCACAAGCGACCAAUCCUCGUCGAACUUUGGAUUGUCCUUUGAUAGUUGUUUAAUUAUUUUAGUCAAAACCGAUUCUAGUCCUUUUUCCCUCUAAAUGCGCUAGACAUUUGGAAAAUUUUAGAAUGGUCAAACAUUAAAGCAUUUGCAAUCGAUCCUAUACCCGAAGCGUAUGGGACACGACGCAUAAUGUUUUAUUUGCUAUGUUCUCAAAAUUCGAAUUGUGAAGAGGGAUGCCGUAAUCAUAAUCGAAAUUUUAAGAACACACUAUGUACCUUUGACUAAAUUUAUUAACAUUUCUCAACCUAAUCCUUUAGAUUUGAAAUGAAGCAUAAUAUUCUCUCCCUUAAUUAUAGCAAAACAACCUUUCAACUCUUACAACUUUGCAAAGUAUGACUCUUGUUUUCUAUAAUUAAUAUUGCUAACCUUGCAAUACUUUCCUUAAUAAUCAUACAAUCAUAACAUUUAUGCUCCCACUAUCAUGAUGAUUAUUAUAAAACAUAACACUUAUGCUCCCACUAGCUUCGACAUGUAUUCAUAAACAUCUUAACUUUCAGAAAAACAAUGCUUAUUGAAUUUCUUAAGUUCAUGUUUCUAAUACUUAGUGCUUUGAUAAUCUUUUAUCAAGGCUUCUUGAACUUAUACACAUUUGCCUUCGAUAGUUCAUAUGUGUGUCUAAACAAUUAAGACUAAUUGCCAAACCUCACAAUUCAAAUUAUGGAAAGGGAUGCCGUAACCAUAAUUGAAUUCGAGAAUGCAAUUUUACAAUCACUAUCUUCUUAAAAUCUUUCUUAGUGAAAGCAUUUCCUCACAAUCAUUUUCAUGAAGGAG
rnacentral:lncRNA from 1 species